CUCCCGUCUCUUCUACCCGAGCCCCCCCUCCCCCCGCCAAGCAGAGAGACCCCAGCAGCAGCAGCAGCUGAUGAUGAAGAGAGAGGCAGUGGCAGAGGGGGGGCACCUUUUAUUUCUAUUUUUAAAGGGACAGGACACUAAUUCUACCCCACUUCAACCUUGAAUUGAGGGGGGUGGGGGGAAGGCGGCUGAGUUCCUUCCCCCACCCUCCAGCCCUGAGCCCUGAGAGGGAGAUUGAGCCUGAGAGAAGGAGAAGGAGUUUCUUCUUCUUCGAAAACCCCCAUCCACGACUCCUACCCCCUCACCCCUCCAACUCGCCUCCCUCCCGAGCCCCCUCCACCCUCCUCCUCUUUGGCCGUGAGAGGAGGAGAGAAAGAGACCAAAAGCCUCUUAGCAACACAGACCCUUUGCUGCUGCUGCUGCUGCUACUGCUGUUGCUGCUGCUGCUGCUGCCACUGCUACUGCUGCUGCUUGGCCCUGGCUGGAGACAUCUCACUACACCCAGGAGCAGCCACUUCCCCGGCUCUCCUCCUCCUCCUUCGCCUCCUCCUCCUCCUCCACUCCCCCCCUUUAUUACCCUUUGUGUCAUCUUCCACAGCUCCAGGGAAGGCACUCAAAAGUGGGGGGCAGGAAAGACAAUUAUCAGCUUUCCAGUUUUCUAUGGAUAUGAAGAUUUACUCCUAGUCAUCAGUGGGACCCCAUGAAGUCAGCCAGAAAGCCUAUGUCCAACUUAAUGUAUCUUUGCAAACUUGUCUGGAUUUUUGAAUGUAUGUGCAAAGCAGAUUGUACUUAGCUAUUCAUUAAACAUCUAUUGAUCAUCUACUGUCUGUCAGGCACUGUGCUAGGCAUCUGAAAAACAAAGAUGGUCCCUGCAGUUUAAUGUGAAGAGGUAUCUUAACUGUAUUCCACAAGUGCAUUGGUCAUGUCUUUGUUUUGGUAUUUCUACCUAAAUAAAUUUUAUAUCAACUAAAUGGAUGCUGUUAGGUAGACAAAUGCAUGUUUAAGAAGGAUAUUGCUGUAUUUUAUUAAAUUCAUUUAUUAUAAAAAUAAAAAGAAAAA